UACAGAGGGUGCGAGCGUUAAUCGGAUUUACUGGGCGUAAAGGGCGCGUAGGCGGUGAGAUGUGUGUGAUGUGAAAGCCCCGGGCUUAACCUGGGAAGUGCAUCGCAAACUGUCUGACUGGAGUAUAUGAGAGGGUGGCGGAAUUUCCGGUGUAGCGGUGAAAUGCGUAGAGAUCGGAAGGAACGUCGAUGGCGAAGGCAGCCACCUGGCAUAAUACUGACGCUGAGGCGCGAAAGCGUGGGGAUCGAACAGGAUUAGAAACCCAGUAGUCC
rnacentral:rRNA from 1 species